GGGACCCCAAAUGUCACCCCAAAUGGCACCCCAACUGGCACCCUGACUGGCACCCUGACUGGCACCCUGACUGUGACCCCAACUGUCACCCCAAUUGUCACCCCAAACAUCACCCCAAUUGUCACCCCAAAUGUCACCUGGACUGGCACUUCAAACGUCACCCCGAUUGUCACCCCAAUUGUCACCCCAACUGGCACCCCGACUGGCACCCCAAAUGUCACCUCAAUUGUCACCCCAAUUGUCACCCCAACUGGCACCCUGAUUGUCACCCUGACUGUGACCCCAACUGUCACCCCAAAUGUCACCUGGACUGGCACUUCAAACGUCACCCCAAUUGUCACCCCAAUUGUCACCCCAAAUGUCACCCCAACUCUCAACUGGACUGGUACCCCAAUUGUCACCCCGGCACCCCAAUUGUCACCCCAAUUCCUGCCCUAACUGGCACCCCAAACGUCACCCCAAUUGUCAUCCUGCCUGGCACCCCAACUCUCUCCCCAGCUGGCACCCCAAUUGUCACCUCAAAUGUCACCUGGACUGGCACCCCAAACAUCACCCCAAUUGUCACCCCAAUUGUCAUCCUAACUGGCACCCUGAUUGUCACCCCAAUUGGCACCCCAAUUGUCACCCCAACUCUCACCCCAAUUGUCCUCCUGUCACCCCAACUGUCACCCCACCUGGCACCCACCAGGUGGGCCUGGCACCCCAAAUGUCACCCUGCCAUCCCAACUGUCACCCCCAAUUGUCACCCCAACUCCCAUCCUGUCCCCCCAGUUGCCACCCUGUCACCCCAACUGCCACCGUCACCAAGCGUCACCCCAACUGCCACCCUGAUUGUCACCCUGCACCCCCAGUUGUCACCGUGUCACCCCAAGUGUCACCCCAAGUGUCCCCCUGUCCCCCCAGUUGUCGCCCCGUCACCCUAACUGCCACCCCAACUGUCACCCCAUCACCCCAACUCCCAUCUGGUCCCCCCAGUUGUCACCCCAAGCGUCACCCCGACUGUCACCCUAUGCCCCCAGUUGUCACCCCGUCACCCCAACUGUCCCCCUGUCCCCCCAGCUGUCACCCUAACUGCCCCCCCAACUGCCCCCCCAACUCCCAUCCCGUCCCCCCCCCUUGUCACCCCGACUGUCCCCCCUACUCCCACCCUCUCCCCCCAAGUUGUCCCCGGGGGGGCUGCGCACCCCACUCUCGGGUUGUGUCCCCCCCCCCCCCAGGCUCCCCAAAAACUCACCGGGAAGAGGGGGGAGGGCUGUAGGGUGGGGGGGGGCAGCGCGUCCCCCUUCCCGAUGCCCACGGCCUCCACGUUGAAGGUCAGCUGCCCGCGACCCCGGCCCCGGCCUCGGCCCGCCAUGGGGGGGUUGGGGGGGGGGGCACGGAGCCCGGG
rnacentral:lncRNA from 1 species